UAGAAGACAAAUAAACUGUUUAAAAUGAUACUACUGUUAAAAGCAUAAUUUAUUGAAUUUCAGUAACUAAAUAACAACCCAAUGAAAAAAUUAAGGUAAAAUUUUUUUAUAAAUUCAAAAUUAAUUUUUUUAAGAUAUUUAGUAACUUUACUUUUCUGUGAUCGUAAUACCUGUUUUAAUAACUUAUUUUCAAUAAAAUUGUUUGUAAUAAAUAUACAAUUAUACAUGUGAUACUCAAAAUAUUCAUGGUAACAAACAUUUGAUUUCUUGAUUUAAAAAAUUUCAAGUUAUAAAGAUGGUCUUGAAUUCAAGUGUUAAACGGAAGGUGAAAUUUGAUUUUGUAUAGGUAACAUAAUCCUAAUUUUAUCAGUAGAACUUUUCUAUUGUUACUGUUAUUGUUCCAUGCAAUAAUGAUAUAUCAUUAUCAUUCUUCCCUUUAACUGAAAACAAUUAUUAAAAUUAUUAAAAUGGUUUCUAUAACAGAAAGAAGUUUGCCUGAACUCUAUUGGCUAGCUCUGAGGAAAGAAGGAAAAACAAAAAAUUAAAAUUUAAGGGGAAAAAAUUAGUUGGUUGAUCAAGAAAAUAGAGUGCUUUUAGUGUUUUCUUACAAAAGGAAUCAUCAAAGAUAUAUUAGGAUUUUGAUCAGUGCCACUCUACUUGUUCCAUUCCUCUAGUGUAGAGUAAAGAAACAAUUUUGGAAGUUCUGAUUAUCUUCUUUCUUGGUUAAUUUUCCUAUAUGACAAUAUUUUUGCAUCCAGCAGUAUUAGGAAAUGUAGAAAAACUGAAUUGUAGAAAAACUGAAAUUACAGUUUAUGAGAAAAUUUAUUUAUAAACUGUAAGGAAAAAAUCAGGACCAGAAAAAUAUGAUGUAAAUUGUGGAAAGCAUUAAUUCCAGGUAUAAGUAUAUAUCAAAUUUUAUUUUAAUACUUUAUAUUAGAAAAGAUUAAGUUUUUAAAAUACUUUUGUUGGAAGAUAUUAAAAACAGUUAUUAAAAAAUAUUAGAUCAUUAUCUAUCUUACUCUUCAGUAACUUCUAUUCCUAUUUUGACAGCAAUGACAUAAUAUGAUACAAACAAUGGCAAUGAUGAAAUAUUCUUAAAGCCAAGAUGAUAAAAUAGAUGUUCAAAACUCCAGAAAAUAUAAACAGAGAUCAUGUAAAAUAAUGACAAAUUUCAGUAUUCUCCCCAGGAACAUAGUUUGUAAUUUACCUGCAAUGUUAGCUAGUUGCUGCUACAAAUUUACUUACAAACUUUGAGUAUUGUUUUAUUGUCAUUAACUACACUAACACUUGUUAACCAAAUUACAGACCACAGGUACCUUGAAAAAAAAAAAACAAUACUAAUAAUAAUAAAUAUGAAAUGAAAUUAAAAAAAUAUAUAUUUUUAUCUAAUUGGUUGAAAUAUUUAGCUGCCAAAUCUACCAACUAAAACUAUAAAACUAGCAUGAAGAGAAACUGAUAUUUUCAGUAUUCAUAGCCAUUUUUAGCAUGCUGUUAAAUUGGAUAGUCACUAGGAAAAGGAAAUACAGAUCUGUUAAACUAUACAAUAAUUUUUAUCAUAAACAAAGUACUACAAUUUGUUUGUCAUCUUAAUCUCCAGCUGUAAUUUUUUUUAAAUAAAUUAUUUUAUUAAGUUGUUGUUAAAAGAUGAUCCUAUAAUAAUUUAAAAGUUUAUGAUGUCUAUAUCUAAUUAUUAAAUAUCAUUUAAAGUAUGUU